UAGGGAAUCUUCCACAAUGGACGCAAGUCUGAUGGAGCAACGCCGCGUGAGUGAAGAAGGUUUUCGGAUCGUAAAGCUCUGUUGUUGGUGAAGAAGGAUAGAGGUAGUAACUGGCCUUUAUUUGACGGUAAUCAACCAGAAAGUCACGGCUAACUACGUGCCAGCAGCCGCGGUAAUACGUAGGUGGCAAGCGUUGUCCGGAUUUAGUGGGCGUAAAGCGAGCGCAGGCGGAAGAAUAAGUCUGAUGUGAAAGCCCUCGGCUUAACCGAGGAACUGCAUCGGAAACUGUUUUUCUUGAGUGCAGAAGAGGAGAGUGGAAUUCCAUGUGUAGCGGUGGAAUGCGUAGAUAUAUGGAAGAACACCAGUGGCGAAGGCGACUCUCUGGUCUGCAACUGACGCUGAGGCUCGAAAGCAUGGGUAGCGAACAGG
rnacentral:rRNA from 1 species